CAAAAAAAAAUCCAAAAAAAAA
rnacentral:sRNA from 1 species